CAUGGAGGCUGGUUACAUUUUCACAAUGCCCGGCCCCAAGCUAGAACUUCGGGAAAAAGGAUCAAGGAAAUGCCUAGUUCGCCAAAUAAAAUCAUCUUCCAAGUCCUAGAAGCCUAUACAUGUUUGAAGAGGAUGAAAAUCUCAGCACCUUCACUGACCAAACCUGAGAAUGCUUGUACCUUAUUUAAGGAACUGUUCUGAUCAUGGGACUUCCCAGGUCCUAGGAAUCUAAGACACAGCCACCCCAUCAGCCCAGCAGUCUGCGAUAAGCCCUCAUGCACUUGUCGCAAUGGGGAUUGGAAUCUCCUGAGAGGGCACAAGUGGGCAAAAAGAAAGAAAGAAAGAAAAAGUACACUGGGAAGAAAAAAAGUAUUUUGGAUUUUCCCAGUUAUUGUGGAGUAAAGGUAUUUCUGUCUACUUUUCUCCUAACAUCAACUGAAAGCAGUGAAGAAGAUGAACAAAAUACAGAAGAGAAAAAGCCAUCCUCAAUUGAAACAGAAGAAUCUGCACCACAAAUCACAAGUGAUGAAAUAUAGCUGCUCAACAGGGUCAAGGUGGAUCGAACUGGAGGCAGACAUCAAGAGUAAACAUCCUCACAGUCUAAUGCCAAGUUCUCCAAAUGUAGUUCCUCCAGAUGUAGUUUCAUCCCCUCAAAGAACCAGAAAACACUGGGAACAUCCCCCAAUCCCAUUCCAUGAUAGAUGCCAGGGUAGCUGGGGCCAAACA